rnacentral:rRNA from 1 species
CGAACGCUGGCGGCGUGCUUACCACAUGCACGUCGCCCGGGCCCGCUCUCUUUUUUGGGGGUGGGUUGAGUGGCGAACGGGUGAGUAUCACGUGAGUAACCUGCCCCCUGCUCCUGGAUAACUGCUUGAAAGGGCGGCUAAUACGGGGUGUGCCGGCUGGUCCGCAUGGGCCUGGUCGGGAUAGUUUCAUCUUCGGGUGUUUCGGUGGGGGAUGGGCUCGCGGCCUAUCAGCUUGUUGGUGGGGUGAUGGCCCACCAAGGCGGUGACGGGUAGCCGGCCUGAGAGGGUGGGCGGCCACACUGGGACUGAGACACGGCCCAGACUCCUGCGGGAGGCAGCAGUGGGGGGUAUUGCACAAUGGGCGGAAGCCUGAUGCAGCGACGUCGCGUGAGGGAUGGAGGCCUUCGGGUUGUGAACCUCUUUCUCCGGUGGUGAAGGCCCUGUCCGUUGCGGCGGGGUUGACGGUAGCCGGGUAUGAAGCGCCGGCUAACUACGUG